rnacentral:rRNA from 1 species
UACGUAGGGGGGCAAGCGUUGUCCGGAAUUAUUGGGCGUAAAGAGCGCGUAGGCGGUCUGAUAAGUCGGUUGUGAAAGUCGGGGGCUCAACCCUCGGAUGCCGAUCGAUACUGUCAGGCUAGAGUCCGGAAGAGGCGAGUGGAAUUCCUGGUGUAGCGGUGAAAUGCGCAGAUAUCAGGAGGAACACCAAUGGCGAAGGCAGCUCGCUGGGACGGUACUGACGCUGAGGCGCGAAAGCGUGGGGAGCAAACAGG